AAGUCGUAACAAGGUUUCCGUAGGUGAACCUGCGGAAGGAUCAUUACUGAUUUGGCGGACCGAGCGUCAGCGAGGUUUCGCGAUCACCUGUAUUUAAAACCCACACUUUGAAUGUAAUAUGUAUAUUUUUGUAUUUUUAAUAAUAAAAAAGAUCACUUUCAACAACGGAUCUCUUGGCUCUC
rnacentral:misc_RNA from 1 species